rnacentral:miRNA from 1 species
UGUGGGCAUCCAGCUCUGCCACA